CCUUGAGAGAAAAGGCUAUUCAAAGGGUAAAGCGUUUGGGUUCUACAAAACAUGGACAGAGGGAAAAUCCUUGGGUUCCCAACUCUCCACAGGAAACCCAAUAUCCCUUUUUUUCAAGCAAGAUUGGCUGUAAUUUCUUAAAGUUCUAACAGAGUCUACUGAGAGUCCCAAUCUCUAGUUAAAUGAGCAUAUGUUCCUCUGCUAGGACAAAGGUCCUAUCUGAAUAUACUGGAAGAAGCACAGGGUUUUCUGUUUGGGGUAGCCAUGGCAGGGUCCCAGCCCACUUUGGGAAGUAUGAAGUUCGAUAUUUGAGAACGUCUCAUCUGGCUUCAGGGAAUACCAAUGUGGAUGAAACACAAAGCUGGCAGGGCAGGGUUCUUACGGAAAUGCCAGAAAAAAAAAUUCCUGUUUUGCAUGCAGGCUGGACUAUCCUUUUGUCACUUUCCAUCAGAUUCUUUAGUGCAUCUAAUAAUUCUUAGAUUUAAUAGGCAUAACUAAGUCACUGGGUAGCUUGUGG
rnacentral:lncRNA from 1 species